CCCUGUGGCGGACGCACUUGAGGUUACGGCUGGGAUAAAUUCAGCUCAGAAGGACCAAGGUUUUGUCCGUCAUGUUGCGACAUACGCGGGGAUACUCGGACUUAGCCCGUGGCAACAGAGGUUGUUUGCAACACUGUGCGCGCCGAAUGAUGCAUGAAAUCGUUUUGAGAGCGACAAAUCGCUAACUCUUCUUCCAAUUUGGACACCCUUUCUGAUUCUGUUUUCGGUUCGUCCUGGACCUGAUCGAGCUGAGCUUUCAAGGACGAUACUUCAUUUUUUAGAGUGGCACUAGACUGAACAUCCUGAGACUGUGCCAGCUCGGAGCUGCGAAACUCAUCCAACUCUCCUCUGGUAUCUUCCAGGUCAGUGUUCAACUGCUGGAUCUGACCCAUGGACUGGACACUGCUGUUAAAAGAGCCAAUGAGUUUGCGAAUGCUCUUAAACAUCGUGCCGCUUGACUGCCGUGCAACUUGCGCAACAUCAUUAUCCGUUUCUGUCGCUUCAAGUGCUUUAUCGACUUGCACCACCUUCUCCAUGAAUGCGUUAUCGGGAGGAGCAAAAUCUGUUUCCGCCAAAAUUUUUCUCAAAUAUUGCUGUGAAGGAUGGACAACCAUCACUUCUGAGUCUUCAGCAGUAUUGCCAACUACGGCCUGAUUUAACUGACUGUGUUCCGGUGAACCGGCCGCUGACAGGAAAUUUUCUUCACCGGAUAUCGGCGAUUGUACUGCUGAUUCUCUUUUCGUAAUCUUUGAAAAAUCCAUAAGCUUUGCGCCAUCUGACACCACUUCCCGCUGAUCAUCCAAAAGGUUGAGCUGAUCAACUGGAGUGUUAGUUUCCUGUGCCUUAUUUUGAGUCGCCUCUGUCAGUGCAUUUCCACUAGACAAAUCCUGCGUACUUCGCGUUUGACGAGUCGAUUCCAUUGGCUGCGGCUGCCCGCUUGCAGAUACUGCUGCUUUUCGCUCUUCCGUUCUCUUUUUAUACUCGGGAAAUUGUUCA